GUCCACGCCGUAAACGAUGGAUGCUAGCCGUUGGCAAGCUUGCUUGUCGGUGGCGCAGCUAACGCUUUAAGCAUCCCGCCUGGGAAGUACGGCCGCAAGGUUAAAACUCAAAGGAAUUGACGGGGGGCCCGCACAAGCGGUGGAGCAUGUGGUUUAAUUCGACGCAACGCGAAGAACCUUACCAGCUCUUGACAUGCUUCGAACGGUUUCCAGAAAUGGUUUCCUCCCAGCAAUGGGUCGAAGCACAGGUGCUGCAUGGCUGUCGU
rnacentral:rRNA from 1 species